GCCACAGCUCAGUGGUAGAGCAUCUGAUUGGAGUGCAGAAGGUUCUAGGUUCAACCCCUGGCAUCUCCA